rnacentral:rRNA from 1 species
GCGACCCCAGGUCAGGUGGGGCCACCC